GUGAUCAAUAUGGAAGUCAAAGAGCAGUUGAAGAAGGAAAUUCGAGAGUUUGGAGGACAACAUGAAAAAAUACUCAAAUUGCUUGAAGGAGUGCAGGGACCUCCAGAACUGCAGAGAAAGUUCGUGGUAUAUGCCAUGAAGCAAGCAGUGAG